UCUUCAUCCUAAAAUGCUCCUUGGAUGCUAACUGGCAGUUUUGGCUUCAGAAGGAUUACAAGACUGGGGGGAAUGCAUAUGAGGAACACUGAUAUGGAGAGAACUUCCUGA
rnacentral:lncRNA from 1 species